rnacentral:rRNA from 1 species
UACGGAGGGGGGCUAGCGUUGUUCGGAAUUACUGGGCGUAAAGCGCACGUAGGCGGCUUUGUAAGUUAGAGGUGAAAGCCCAGGGCUUAACCCUGGAAUUGCCUUUAAGACUGCAUCGCUAGAAUCGUGGAGAGGUGAGUGGAAUUCCGAGUGUAGAGGUGAAAUUCGUAGAUAUUCGGAAGAACACCAGUGGCGAAGGCGACUCACUGGACACGUAUUGACGCUGAGGUGCGAAAACGUGGGGAGCAAACAGG